GUGUAAUGAAUGACUGGCUAACAUAACCUUGUGUCAAACUAAAGAAAAACAUGUGUAAUGAAUGACUGGCUAACAUAACCUUGUGUCAAACUAAAGAAAAACACAUGUAAUGAAUGACUGGCUAACAUAACCUUGUCUCAAACUAAAGAAAAACACAUGUAAUGAAUGACUGGCUAACAUAACCUUGUCUCAAACUAAAGAAAAACAUGUGUAAUGAAUGACUGGCUAACAUAACCUUGUCUCAAACUAAAGAAAAACAUGUGUAAUGAAUGACUGGCUAACAUAACCUUGUGUUGAUUUAAAUGAUAAAUUUCUAGCCUAUUGAAACAAAUACUACAUCAAUCACGUGUUCUCAGGAUGCAAACUAAUUCUGAUCAGUUAGGAAUAGGCUACAACUCAUUUUGACAAUUUAUAAGAGCAGAAAUUUUUCAUUGAUAUUGAAUUUAACCUUUAAUUAGGGCAAAGGGAAAGAUAUAUAGAUACAUAGAAUAUUACUAUGUAGCAUAUAGCAGUUGUAGCUUUUACACAUGCUAAUAAUUUAACAAUCACAGACAAAAUAGUAACCUAUUACUGCUUCAUUAAGAGCCAUUUUCAAACUUAACAACCCUACCUCAUCCUGUUGAACAGUAAACCUAUCUCUAACACAAACACUAGAAUAAUACAUUCAUUUAGGUUAGUAAUACAGUUCUGUUUUUCAAUCUACCUUUUUCAGUGCCUACCCUGCAAGCUUGGGAAUGGGGUAACCUGGUUAGUUUAGGUUUGAUUCUUUCAAAUAUUCAAUCAAACAGUAUGUUAGUUUAGGUUUGAUUCUUUCAAAUAUUCAAUCAAACAGUAUGUUAGUUUAGGUUUGAUUCUUUCAAAUAUUCAAUCAAACAGUAUGUUAGUUUAGGUUUGAUUCUUUCAAAUAUUCAAUCAAACAGUAUGUUAGUUUAGGUUUGAUUCUUUCAAAUAUUCAAUCAAACAGUAUGUUAGUUUAGGUUUGAUUCUUUCAAAUAUUCAAUCAAACAGUAUGUUAGUUUAGGUUUGAUUCUUUCAAAUAUUCAAUCAAACAGUAUGUUAGUUUAGGUUUGAUUCUUUCAAAUAUUCAAUCAAACAGUAUACUAUGUUAGCUAUAAUUCAAUC